UUUUUUUAUCACUAUGACUACGUAAUUUCAAUACGGCGAAAAACAAUUUCUCUAUUUUGUAUAUUUACCACGGGAGUAAGGGGAGAAUUAUUGUGAUGCGGUAAUUGUCGAAUGGGAAUUGAAUGUGCAUUUAGUUUUUACGAGUUGGAGAACUUUAUGAGAGACGAGUGAAGAAACUCAUUUCUCGGCCGUUCGAAAUAAUUGGAGAAGGAAAUUUUUUUUUGGGAGUUUGUUUCUCAGCGGUUCGAUUAUUCUCCAUGGAAAUUAUUUAUCCCCGCGAAAGUGUUACAAAUACGCCUCUGGCAAAGUCACGGAUGUCGGACGUUGCAGUGAUGGAAAAACCGUAAAUGUCGUGUUGUACAUGAGAAUCGAGGGUAGACAACACCAGAGUUGUGUUAAUUCGACGCCGAUCAUGUCAAUUAUCCAAUCCACAAGAUCGCAUCAAAUAUUUCUCAUCGAUGAUGCCCUCAACACUGACGAUUUGUUGUGUUAUUUACAACCACUGCACGUUCAUUCCUCCAUUCUUCGACAAGAUGUUCGAAUUUUUAAUUAAAAAAAGCAGUUUAUGAGGUGCUCAAAUGGGAUAAAAAAUGACUGCACCGGACUUUCACGAGAAAUUUUUUUAUUACGCUGGUGAAGAAAAGCGAAUAUUUUCGAACACUGGGAACAGUGAAAGCGAGAAUUGUCAGGGGCUAACGCCGGUCAUCUGGGAAGCAAAUGCGAGUGAAGAUCGGCGAGGGCCGUAUGAGAAAGAGUCUUAUGCAAUCGUAACUCAUUUCGUAUUCAUGUGCGGGAGGUGAAAGACUUUCCUCCCUCGUUUGCUGGUCGCGGAUAUACUCGCGCAGAUAUCGAUCUUCAGGCUCAUUAGCACCUUCUCGCCAUCGCAGUCCUUUGUUCCUUCGGGAGAUCUGAUGGCUGAUAGUGGACGACGGUUCCGGCUUGGAGUUUUUCAGUUAUUGUUGGUAUAACGGAUUGUUGAUUACGACGAGGUAAUUUAUAAUUACAUUUGAAAGG